AUUGAACGCUGGCGGCAUGCCUUACACAUGCAAGUCGAACGGUAACGGGCCUUCGGGUGCCGACGAGUGGCGAACGGGUGAGUAAUACAUCGGAACGUGCCCGAUCGUGGGGGAUAACGAGGCGAAAGCUUUGCUAAUACCGCAUACGAUCUACGGAUGAAAGCAGGGGACCGAAAGGCCUUGCGCGGACGGAGCGGCCGAUGGCAGAUCAGGUAGUUGGUGGGAUAAAAGCUUACCAAGCCGACGAUCUGUAGCUGGUCUGAGAGGAUGAUCAGCCACACUGGGACUGAGACACGGCCCAGACUCCGACGGGAGGCAGCAGUGGGGAAUUUUGGACAAUGGGCGCAAGCCUGAUCCAGCCAUGCCGCGUGCAGGAUGAAGGCCUUCGGGUUGUAAACUGCUUUUGUACGGAACGAAAAGCCUUCUUUUAAUACAGGAGGGUCAUGACGGUACCGUAAGAAUAAGCACCGGCUAACUACGUG
rnacentral:rRNA from 1 species